rnacentral:rRNA from 1 species
UACGUAGGUGGCAAGCGUUGUCCGGAUUUACUGGGCGUAAAGAGCGCGCAGGCGGUCGUUCAAGUCGCGUGUGAAAGCCCCCGGCUCAACUGGGGAGGGUCACGCGAUACUGAUCGACUCGAAGGCAGGAGAGGGUAGUGGAAUUCCCGGUGUAGUGGUGAAAUGCGUAGAUAUCAGGAGGAACACCGGUGGUGUAGACGGCUUUCUGGACCGUAACUGACGCUGAAACACGAAAGCGUGGGUAGCAAACAGG